CCUCUUUCUUUCUCCCCACUCCCUCUCCCUCUCCCUCCUCCCUCUCUCCUCUCCCUCUCCCUCCAAGUCUGGCACCGAACGCGAACUGUUUGCUUUGCUCCGGGAAGAGUGCAGACACAACGUGAAAUCCCGAGCUUUUUGCGUGGUGCAUUGAAAACGCUUCCUUAUUUAUAUUACCCUCAUUCCCUCACCUCUCCCACCCCCUCACCAGUCCUUCCAAAUUUCCCUAGAAAUCUGUGUAAAGCGUGCGGAGGGGAAAACAUUUGCACAAAAAGUGAAGGAGCUCGCCAAGGAGUUCCCGUUUGGGUGGUCAAACCUGUCCUGACACCCGGAGGUCUGCAUGAGGGUCGGCCACUGGAGGAGGGGGUCUCAGAGGCCACAGGAGAUGAAGUGUCUAGACAAAUGAGCUCCAGAAUCCCAGAACUGCUCACUCCCAGAUUGGGCAUGAAGCCUCACUGACUCUGGCCUAGCAAGGAUACCAGUCUCCCCAGUGGUCAACACAGCUCUGGUCAGGAGCAAGUGACACCUGGGCUGUGGCCACCACUUGUGUUUGUUGCCAGCAGGCUCCUCUAAGGUCUAUUGAGCAUCUAAUGUAUGAAAGGCACUGCUCCAGACAAAGGGAAACAGCUGUGAACAAGAGAGAUAAAGUCUAGUGAAGGCAGCAGAUAAUGUGAAUUUGGUUUCCUAAGAUGGAAAGGAAGUUUGGGGGAAGAGUUUGGCAGCAUUGAUGGUUCCAGCAAAUGAAGAAUCAAUCCAGCUGGUGUUGAAACUGGAAUAUGUCAAAACUUUUAUCUCCUGAAGACUCUGGGAAAUACUUUUAAAGGUGAAACUUCUCAUCUUUAGGGAUUGAACACCUUCUCAACUGAAUUUAAAGAAGUGCAAUAUUUUGAGCUAUGUUUAAAUGAAGAUGAGAUAGAAGACCAAACUGUUAAAAAUAUGUAAGUUUUAUUGUACAGCCAAAUGAAGGAUUCAGCUCUAUUCCACUGGCAUUUUAAAAAAAUUCUUCACUUCUGUGACAUUCCCUAUUUAUGGAAUUUUCUUUCAUUACAUUGAACUAUUCCUGAUUUCAUCAUGAAAAUAUGACCUGAAAAUCCAUUUAUAGAAGUACUGAAAGUGAAUUUAAAAUUAAAUAGGAAUGUUUGUAUACUAAUACGAUACAAUAUGGUUGAUUCACAUUUUUCCAUA